AUAAAUGUCACCUGAAGAUCUUAUUAAAAUGCAGAUUCUGAUUCAGUAGGUCCAGGUUGUAUCUGAGAGUCUGCGUUUCUAAUAAGCUCUCAGGUGAUUGCUGG
rnacentral:pre_miRNA from 1 species